rnacentral:rRNA from 1 species
GAUGAACGCUGGCGGCGUGCCUAAUACAUGCAAGUCGAGCGAACAGACGAGGAGCUUGCUCCUCUGACGUUAGCGGCGGACGGGUGAGUAACACGUGGAUAACCUACCUAUAAGACUGGGAUAACUUCGGGAAACCGGAGCUAAUACCGGAUAAUAUAUUGAACCGCAUGGUUCAAUAGUGAAAGACGGUUUUGCUGUCACUUAUAGAUGGAUCCGCGCCGCAUUAGCUAGUUGGUAAGGUAACGGCUUACCAAGGCGACGAUGCGUAGCCGACCUGAGAGAGUGAUCGGCCACACUGGAACUGAGACACGGUCCAGACUCCUACGGGAGGCAGCAGUAGGGAAUCUUCCGAAAUGGGCGAAAGCCUGACGGAGCAACGCCGCGUGAGUGAUGAAGGUCUUCGGAUCGUAAAACUCUGUUAUUAGGGAAGAACAAAUGUGUAAGUAACGAUGCACGUCUUGACGGUACCUAAUCAGAAAGCCACGGCUAACUACGU